rfam:Cephalotus follicularis DNA, scaffold: scaffold2343, isolate: St1.
GUAUGCAAUCCUUUCAGCACUUACGCAUCAGAUUCCAUUCGAACUCUGCAGUUAAGCUUGCUUGGACAAUGUGUAGUAGUUUUAUGCAUACC